GAUGAACGCUGGCGGCGUGCCUAAUACAUGCAAGUCGAGCGAACGGACGAGAAGCUUGCUUCUCUGAUGUUAGCGGCGGACGGGUGAGUAACACGUGGAAAACCUACCUAUAAGACUGGGAUAACUUCGGGAAACCGGAGCUAAUACCGGAUGAUAUUUUGAACCGCAUGGUUCAAAAGUGAAAGACGGUCUUGCUGUCACUUAUAGAUGGAUCCGCGCUGCAUUAGCUAGUUGGUAAGGUAACGGCUUACCAAGGCAACGAUGCGUAGCCGACCUGAGAGGGUGAUCGGCCACACUGGAACUGAGACACGGUCCAGACUCCUACGGGAGGCAGCAGUAGGGAAUCUUCCGCAAAGGGCGAAAGCCUGACGGAGCAACGCCGCGUGAGUGAUGAAGGUCUUCGGAUCGUAAAACUCUGUUAUUAGGGAAGAACAUAUGUGUAAGUAACUGUGCACAUCUUGACGGUACCUAAUCAGAAAGCCACGGCUAACUACGUG
rnacentral:rRNA from 1 species